ensembl:lncRNA
AUAAAGUGUAACCUGCAUAUCUCACUAUUAGGCUACUGUAUCAGUGCUGAAAUUAGAUGUGCUGCUUAAUAUGUUUUGUAGCAACUGUGACUCAAAAGAAGUCUAGAGGAUGUAAAUACAUUAUAAAUAUAUUUACCUGUCAAAAAAUGCAGUUUUAUUUGUGUCAAAAAUGAACGCUCAUCUGUUGUGCAUUGCUGUGCUGAGACACACACACACACACAGAGAGAGAGAGAGAGAGAGAGAGAGAGAGAGAGAGAGAGAGAGACGUACAGCUCUCUGAACUGCAUGCACUGAACUCCACUCCAACGACUGUAGUGUAAGACGACAAUUCACACGGCUUUACAGCUUCCAACAAAUGGGGGAAGCAUUUGCAUAAAGAUUUGGGGGUUGCGACAUAGCAAACAACAUCCUCGACAACAAGCAAGAACAAAAACAGAGAAACGCCCAUCAGGGAUAUCACAAAUCUUUUUGUGAAAUCGACACAGGAAUUCUUGCAGAGGAGCUGAAGUCUGUGAGCAGGACGCUGUCAGGUAAUUCUCGAACUCUGAAAUGUCUUUCAAAAAGUGUAUUUGGAUUGAGGCGCCUUUAUAGUGUAGCAAAAUCUGGGAUCAAUUUCGAUCUAGGCUUACUCAGAGAGAAUAGCAUGUUCAAUAUUUUCAUGUUGUAGACAUAAAGUAAAGAGACUCUGUUAUAUGUCUGUGUGUCUGUUAAAAUACUUCUGUGCGGUUCACAGAGGAAAAUGCUCGCUCAGGUGUGGCUCUUUAAUAACUCAAGUGGCUUAUUUGUUGUAUUUUUAACCAUUUGAAUACCCAAAACCUCUGAUUUACUUUUCUACCAUACCAAAAAUCAGUUCCAAAUCAGUAGAUUUGCUCUUACCUCUGGGAGAUUGGGAGAUGUCAUCAGCGGUCUCGGGAAUCCUACACCGAUGUCCGUUCUCACUCAGUCAGGUCUGGACUGCUUAAAGCUCGAUAGAAGGCUUCUUCAGGUGCCGAUAAUAGGUUACCAGAAAUAAGUCACUCAGAGAUGUGCUCCAAAAUGAGUUUCUAGUUUCCCUGGUUCAUAGUUACUGUUUCCAAUUCAGAAUUGAUUGGGGAAUUGCAUAUUUAUUGGUUCAUUUCUAUUAACAUAUAGGAAAUCUGUUAUUUUUUGACUAUGUGCCAAAUUUGUUUUAUAUUUUCCUCCUUAAAGUCUUAAAAUCCCUUAGAUGGAAUAAGAAUAGAUAUAAAUGAGACAGUUGUUAUCUUAUAGUAAAUGUAU